rnacentral:rRNA from 1 species
CCUACGGGUGGCAGCAGUGAGGAAUAUUGGUCAAUGGACGAGAGUCUGAACCAGCCAAGUAGCGUGAAGGAUGACUGCCCUAUGGGUUGUAAACUUCUUUUAUAUGGGAAUAAAAUGUUCCACGUGUGGGAUUUUGUAUGUACCAUAUGAAUAAGGAUCGGCUAACUCCGUGCCAGCAGCCGCGGGAAUACGGAGGAUCCGAGCGUUAUCCGGAUUUAUUGGGUUUAAAGGGAGCGUAGGUGGAUUGUUAAGUCAGUUGUGAAAGUUUGCGGCUCAACCGUAAAAUUGCAGUUGAAACUGGCAGUCUUGAGUACAGUAGAGGUGGGCGGAAUUCGUGGUGUAGCGGUGAAAUGCUUAGAUAUCACGAAGAACUCCGAUUGCGAAGGCAGUUCACUGGACUGCAACUGACACUGAGGCUCGAAAGUGUGGGUAUCAAACAGGAUUAGAUACCCUAGUAGUC